rnacentral:misc_RNA from 1 species
AGGUUUGGAGGUAACAGGUCUCGAGGAGGAGGAGGAAACAGAGGUGGGGGUAGGGGUGGAGGCAGCAGGGGAGGAAGAGGCCGAGGGGGACGCAGCAACAAAACACAAAUGACAGCAGAGGAGCUAGAUGCAGAGCUCGAUGCUUACAACUCAAAGAUGGAAACUGACUAAAGAGGAGGCAGCUGGCAUUAGACAAUUCAUCUACACUACACUACAUUAUUACUGACCAAAGACUCUGCUUUAAGAAAGUAAGAGUAUAUGAACUCCUGCAGAUACUGUGUUUGUAUGUGACGGCCAGUGAUACAUACAUAUACUCAAUACCUGUUAACAGAACAGUGUGUAUCUGACAUUCGCGGUCAGUAUUGUAACAUGCUGUAGUGUACCAGUUAUAUCAAUGUACAUGUAUUGAACAACAUGCCAUGAACUGAUGUGAUUUUUAGUAUAGGAGUUCAGCUUUGUAUUUUUAGGUAUUGUUUUAAAACUACAUGUAGGUAGGAAAAACUUUGAAUAAACUUUUAUUCUGUGAAUUUGGUUUAUAUGAAGUUAAAUUACACUUCAAUAUGCACCUCUCUUCUGGUGCUUAAAAAUAAUGAGAGAGAUUCAUGUUUGUUUUUAAAAUUUGAAUUUGAAUAUAAUGUGGACAAACAACUUGUAAUUUUUUUUUAUUUUAUGGAACUUAAAAAAGUUGUUUUAUUUUUGUCUCAUAUUCAUCAACAUUUUCCUACAUCAUACAUGUCAUAAAAAUACUGUAUGUUCCGAGUUUUGUAUAUAAAUUGUCAUUC